GUAAUAACCCCAAUAUGUUAUAUGCAUGCUCCAAUAGAGUUUGCUCAUUCUGUUACGAGGUUGCUUUUUGUUUUCAAUUUAAGCUUUAAUUAUCCCUGGGCUAUAGGGAGAACCAGGUAUUUCCAUCACCCAUUUUCCCCAAGGAGGAUUGUACACAUUCUCACAGGCACACUUUUAAGACACAUCAAAGUGCAUCUCAGAGUAGGAAAAGAGAAAUGAGUUCAGAAUAAAAAGGAAAUAUUUACUAUAAAUAGCAGCUAUCUUAUUAAAGAGGCAUUUCUCAGCAAGGCAAAGGGGUCUUGAAGGUUGUGUUUAUGGAAAAACACACACACAGACAUUCUCUAUUCUCUUUUUUCCUUGCUGGGAAUAUUUAUUCAAAGUAAACAAACCAUUUUAAAAUUCAGAUGAUAAACAGAGAAACUCUAAAGUGCAGAAAAUAAACAGAUUCCACUCAUUUGCUUCUUCAAGAGCCAAGUAGUUUACCCUAAUUUUUUUUUUCCUUCUAACCUGAUCUAGAUUCCCAGCUGAAGGAGCCCGUAGCCUGAUUCUGCUCAGUUCUAAUGUGUUGUGAGAAGAAAUUCAGAAUAUCUCUGUGCUAGUCUUGCUUGGAAUUGUAGAACCCAAAGUUGCUUUUUGCCUCUAGAGAUCAUACAUCCAUCAUACAUACAUACACACAUACAUCAUACAUAUAUACAUACAUAUAUACAUACAUACAUACACACAUGAGUCCUAACACCGCUCGCCAGCCCUAUUGUUGGAGAAGUGUCUUUACCUCCUGUCAAGCAAUGACCUAAAAAAGUUUAAUCUGGUUAACAAUUUCAAGGUCAAAGUGGGUACAAUGCUGUCUCUUUUGGCCUAAGAGAAAAGGGAAACUGCUUGUUCUAAGUCUAGAUUUCUGCUUGUUCCUGUCCCAUUCCCCAGGCUUUGGUCCCCCUAAAUGUAUUAAAGCCUCACACUGGAGUUUGUGGUCUUUUCCACAUUAUCUCAGAGCUUUAAUUCCUGUGAUCAGAACUGGUGCCCUCUCUGCUCAAUUUUUAUACUGAAUGAUAAGCAAAGCAAAACUUUCCAACCUAAAUAGCAAUGAAACGCUAAACUAGGAAUUUAUUGACGUUCCCUAAACUGACAUUCAAUGAUCAAAAUAAAAUGCAUACAUAAAAUCCUAGUCAAUUUGCAUACCCCGUUCUUCCACAUAACAAAAAAAAGCUAUUUUAAACCUAUGACUGUGACAUGCAUUUGUUUUUAAUAAUGUCUCAUUUUUAAACAACCAUAUAUUCAAGGUCUUUAUCAUUCAAGGUACAUGAAGGUUGUGCAUUUAAUCUUUAGCAUGGUUGUAGAAGAUAUGAUUCACAGAGUAGAGAAUAGAUAAAAAUAAACAUGCAGUAGCAUGGUGCCGAAUCAUCAGAACUCACCAUCUUAUCAACAAAUAGAAGUCAUUCUUCUUUAUUUCUUGAGCAAAGCAGUUUCAUAUAAGAUAAAUAGCUUUCAGUCAGAAUAGCCUAACAUGCAAUAUGCAUCUUUUUGACAUGUAUAUUCUAAUACUACUUUAGACCAUAAGAUUAAAAGAGGAAAAGUCUCAGGGUUGUGUGUUGAGAACAAACACCGGUUGAAUCUGCAUUUUUUUCCAUUUUUCAUCUCCUAGAAUUUGGCUCUGUAUGGGUAUGUUUGUACAUUACUGGAUUUUAUUAAACGGUCAACCUCUAGUGACCUUCAAGUACUGUUUUCUAAAGAGAAAUAAUUCAGGGAAUUUUUAUGCUUUUUAUAUCAAACAUUGAAAGUCACAUCAUUGUUUGGAGAGAUCGUCUUUUGUUUUCAGAGAGCAGGGCAUAGUUAAAUGUGUUUCUGAUGGGUUUAGGAGACUGGGUUCUAGAUAUGUGACCUUGAGAAGGCUACCCUAGUUCUAGUUUCCUCAUCUUGUAAAGGAAGAAUUUGAGUCAGAUGGUUUUUAAAAUUAUACCUAGCUCUAAGAUGAUAUCAUCUAUAAAUUAUUGUACUUUUGUUAACAGAGAAAGUAGAUGGGUGAUGUGGAAGGCAGAAUAAAGAAAUUAAGUGGAUACCUUAAGUGGCCGAGGCCUUUGGACUGGACUGAUAGUCACUCUGUGGGUCUCCGCUGAGCACACUUUCAUGACUUAAAGUCCUGUUUACCAAGCCCCUCUGGCCCAUUCCAUUCACAAAUCCUGCCUCAAUGUAGCUAUACAAGCCUCUGAACCUUUAAGGGUGUCAUGCUGUUACAAAACUUCCGUUCUCACUUAAAUAUUAACUUUAUUAACUUCCACUUUCUGAGAUGGACAACUGAACUGAAGUUCUUGGGGAAGUUGACAAAACAGCAGAAAGCUUGCAUUUUCAAUAGGCAUUGUUCUAUCCAUAUUUACUGGUUUGUAUGUGUGGAAGAAAGAACUUGAUUUUUUUUUAAUUUUUUUUUUUUAAGAACUUGGUUUUUUUGUAGUAGACUGCCUUUAAUUAAAACUCCAACUCUUUACUAAUCUAGCUGUUUGGCCUCUUUGAAAUUCAUCUCUGAAAUAUUUUCUCAUCUAUAAAAUGGGCAAAAUAGCUACAUGGAUGUUAUUGUAGAAGAAAAGCAAUUAUUUACAAGUGUUCAAGAAAUACUGUUUUUCCUCCAUUUCAGUAUCAGCUUAUUUGGGAGAGUACUGAUAAUGAUACUAAAAAUCAUCACUUUCAUGACAGAAUCCAUUUCUUAUAUUGCAUAGUUUUGAAAUGUUUUGAAAUGACGAGAUGUGAAAGGAACUGCCUCAUUUACUUGGAAGAUAUUCCUAGACCAGUUUACACUGAUCAGUUUUGUGUUGUCUUGUAAAUAGGUUACUUUCUUAAGUCUGACCUUUGUUUGCCUCUGGGACCUGAUUCCUUUCUCUUCUGCAUCUUCUAGCUGCCACAGCUUCAAAGAAGGUAUACAAACUCCUAAGCCUAAAGGAUGAAAUCAGUUCUGUGGGUGUCAAAUGAGUGGUGCAUGUGAAAACUCCUUCAAAAGGAUGAGGACUUUUGCGAGCUCAAGACAGUAGUUUUCUACAGAUGAACGCAGGACCUUUAAACAGCAUGCUGUACAUUUCUCACCUUCUGGAAGGACAAAUGUAAAGAAGAAAUGAUCACCUUAAGCUAUGCAAUGCUAAAUCAGGAAUCAAUUAAAUAGCUGGAUCACUCAUCCCAUCUGGCACAUUUUCACUUCUCAAAUAGCAAAAUUGACAAAGCUAGUGUUUUUUUAAGUCUAUCAAUAAAAUGCCUCUCAUAGAGUA